CAAUGCAGUGAUAGCAUGUUGAAUGCACCAGUGACUAAUGGGUCUCUGAAGUUAAGUAACUCUGCGCGUGGUUGGUGUCCGGCUGGGUGACCAUAUAUGCGCAAUCGCGUGCUGCUGGC
rnacentral:rRNA from 1 species